rnacentral:rRNA from 1 species
GACGAACGCUGGCGGCGUGCUUAACACAUGCAAGUCGAACGGAAAGGCCCGGCUUUUGUUGGGUGCUCGAGUGGCGAACGGGUGAGUAACACGUGAGUAACCUGCCCUUGACUUUGGGAUAACUUCAGGAAACUGGGGCUAAUACCGGAUAGGAGCUCCUGCUGCAUGGUGGGGGUUGGAAAGUUUCGGUGGUUGGGGAUGGACUCGCGGCUGAUCAGCUUGUUGGUGGGGUAGUGGCUUACCAAGGCUUUGACGGCUAGCCGGCCUGGGAGGGUGACCGGCCACAUUGGGACUGAGAUACGGCCCAGACUCAUACGGGAGGAAGCAGUGGGGAAUAGUGCACAAUGGGCGGAAGCAUGAUGCAGCAACGCCGCGUGCGGGAUGACGGCCUUCGGGUUGUAAACAGCUUUCGACUGUGACGAAGCGUGAGUGACGGUAAUGGGUAAAGAAGCACCGGCUAACUACGUG